AGUCGAGGGGCAGCGAGUAGAUUGCUUGCAAUCUACGUCGGCGACCGGCGCAUGGGUGCGUAACGCGUAUGCAACCUACCCAUUACAGGGGGAUAACACUGAGAAAUCGGUACUAAUACCCCAUAACAUCCAGGGAGGCAUCUUCUUGGGUUGAAAACUCCGGUGGUAAUGGAUGGGCAUGCGUUGUAUUAGUUAGUUGGUGGGGUAACGGCUCACCAAGACAACGAUACAUAGGGGGACUGAGAGGUUAACCCCCCACAUUGGUACUGAGACACGGACCAAACUCCUACGGGAGGCAGCAGUGAGGAAUAUUGGUUAAUGGCCGUAAGGCUGAACCAGCCAAGUAGCGUGAGGGAAGACUGCCCUAUGGGUUGUAAACCUCUUUUAUGCGGGGAUAAAGGUGUCCACGUGUGGAUGUUUGCAGGUACCGCAUGAAUAAGGACCGGCUAAUUCCGUGCCAGCAGCCGCGGUAAUACGGAAGGUCCGGGCGUUAUCCGGAUUUAUUGGGUUUAAAGGGAGCGUAGGCCGGUCUUUAAGCGUGCCGUGAAAUUUUGUGGCUCAACCAUGAGAGUGCGGCGCGAACUGGAGACCUUGAGUGCGCGGAAGGCAGGCGGAAUUCGUGGUGUAGCGGUGAAAUGCUUAGAUAUCACGAAGAACCCCGAUUGCGAAGGCAGCCUGCCGCAGCGUUACUGACGCUGAAGCUCGAAAGCGCGGGUAUCGA
rnacentral:rRNA from 1 species